rnacentral:rRNA from 1 species
GUGCCAGCCGCCGCGUAAUACAGAGGGUGCAAGCGUUAAUCGGAAUUACUGGGCGUAAAGCGCGCGUAGGUGGUUUGUUAAGUUGAAUGUGAAAUCCCCGGGCUCAACCUGGGAACUGCAUCCAAAACUGGCAAGCUAGAGUAGGGCAGAGGGUGGUGGAAUUUCCUGUGUAGCGGUGAAAUGCGUAGAUAUAGGAAGGAACACCAGUGGCGAAGGCGACCACCUGGGCUCAUACUGACACUGAGGUGCGAAAGCGUGGGGAGCAAACAGGAUUAGAUACCCCCGUAGUCC